UACGGGGGGGGCAAGCGUUGUUCGGAAUUACUGGGCGUAAAGGGCGUGUAGGCGGCCAACUAAGUCCGACGUGAAAUCCCCAGGCUUAACCUGGGAACUGCGUCGGAUACUGGAUGGCUUGAAUCCGGGAGAGGUGAGUGGAACUGCGAGUGUAGAGGUGAAAUUCGUAGAUAUUCGCAAGAACACCAGUGGCGAAGGCGGCUCACUGGCCCGGUACUGACGCUGAGGUGCGAAAGCGUGGGGAGCAAACAGG
rnacentral:rRNA from 1 species